rnacentral:lncRNA from 1 species
UGUGGAUGAUGUGAUGUAAUGUAAUGCAAUGUAAUAUAUUUUUUCAGCUGGGAACAUUGCCCAAGAUUCCGUAGGUAAGAAUAAAGAAAGAAUGGAUUACCAACAGAAAUAUCUGUCACAGUGUCUGUGCUUAGUCUGGCAAAGCUAAAUUAAGCUGCAGCAACAAAUCCUGGUGACUUGAUGCAACAAAGACAUCUUUCUUGUUCAUGCAAUGCCUGAUGUAAACCCAGUGGCUUGCUAUUGUAGUUCUUCAAGUGAUGACCGCCUCCUUUUAAGGUUCCUGCUUCUCAACAGUGGCUUCUGGGAUGCUAAGCAUACUUGUAUACACUUAUGCUGAUGAGACCAUGAAUUUCUUCCCCUUUUGUAUUUCCAAGAGGGAUGACCACAUAGUAAGUAUUUAAUAAUUAUUUGUUGAGUAAAUGCUUACAUAACUAAAUGAUAUUGCAUGGC